UAGGGGAAUCUUCCACAAUGGACGCAAGUCUGAUGGAGCAACGCCGCGUGAGUGAAGAAGGUUUUCGGACCGUAAAGCUCUGUUGUUGGUGAAGAAGGAUAGAGGUAGUAACUGGCCUUUAUUUGACGGUAAUCAACCAGAAAGUCACGGCUAACUACGUGCCAGCAGCCGCGGUAAUACGUAGGUGGCAAGCGUUGUCCGGAUUUAUUGGGCGUAAAGCGAGCGCAGGCGGAAGAAUAAGUCUGAUGUGAAAGCCCUCGGCUUAACCGAGGAAUUGCAUCGGAAACUGUUUUCUUGAGUGCAGAAGAGGAGAGUAGAACUCCAUGUGUAGCGGUGGAAUGCGUAGAUAUAUGGAAGAAUACCAGUGGCGAAGGCGGCUCUCUGGUCUGCAACUGACGCUGAGGCUCGAAAGCAUGGGUAGCGAACAGGAUUAGAUACCCUGGUAGUCCAUGCCGUAAACGAUGAGUGCUAAGUGUUGGGAGGCUUCCGCCUCUCAGUGCUGCAGCUAACGCAUUAAGCACUCCGCCUGGGGGAGUACGACCGCAAGG
rnacentral:rRNA from 1 species